CGAGUGCUAGUGGAGAGACAAAAUGGAGGGAAAUUUGUAAGCAGAGCACUGGCACAAACGUAAGGAAUAAUUUAGAUUGCAUGUCCGGGCAUGGAGUUUCCGGAUUUGGGUUGCUGUAAUUACUUAGUUCCACUUUACGUCGCCUAAUUUCUCCAAUUACUUGAGGGUCUUGGCAGCAAACUCGCUUCACUUUUUUUUUUUAUUAAACAAACUGGAGAGGGUAUUUACAAUUUGUAUUUUAAAACAAGUAUGCACUUUUUUAAAGAUUCAGAAUAUGUUCUUAUUGCAUUUUCUUGUCAUUAUUGACCAUGAGAACACACAAUUUCUUUGAAGUUCAGUGCAUUGCAACAAGCAAAAGAUAAGUAAUUCAUUUUACAACCAAGAAUUCAUAGCAAACACAAUUUGUGAUUAGAAAAUUAGUUAGGCUUCUGUUAUCAAAGCUCAGCACUUAAAAUAUCACCUACAGCACUGGGCGAUAAGUGCCAAGUACUCAAGUGGAAUGCCCAGUGGGUAUCUCAACUUAAUGAAGAUCUGCAUUUGAAGUGUUGAGCACUCCUGCAUUGCAACAAGCAAAAGAUAAGUAAUUCAUUUUACAACCAAGAAUUCAUAGCAAACACAAUUUGUGAUUAGAAAAUUAGUUAGGCUUCUGUUAUCAAAGCUCAGCACUUAAAAUAUCACCUACAGCCCUGGGCGAUAAGUGCCAAGUACUCAAGUGGAAUGCCCAGUGGGUAUCUCAACUUAAUGAAGAUCUGCAUUUGAAGUGUUGAGCACUCCUGGAUCUUUUUCCCCAGUGUCCGACAACUUAGUCCAUGGCUAGCUGGUUAGCUGGUGAGCUGGUGAGCUAGUGAGCUGGGAACGCAGAGGGACACGUACCAUACUCGUAUAUGCUUACCGCAUCGCGCACAAUGCGCUGUCGCCGCGACGUGAGGACAUAACCAAUCUUAACGUAGACGUAAAGCAUCACGGUGAGGGGGAUGAAGAACGAUCCCAUCGCCGAGAAGACCACGUAGCCCUUGUUUUGGUUGUAGCGACAGUCCACGAACUCCGCCUGGUGCCGCCCAGCCUCGUACCUGCGAAUGUGGAUGUGAAUGGCAAAUUGAAUUCCAGUUCGAAUUGCAUGUGGUUUGUGGGCUGGAAGGAUGUGCCACCCAGGUUUGGUGGCUCUUGCGGUUGUGAUUGCGGCUGGGGAACUGGGACUUGGGGAAUGACAACUGGCUGAGUUAAGCCGUUCGCAAUUCGAAUUCAAAUCCAAAACCCAAGCCAGACAGAGUAGUCCCUUCUGGAAUCCUUUGGCUUAUGCACAUCUCAGGUGAUGGUCAUUCUGCCAACACAAACCGGAGCUGACUUUAAAUCAAUAUGCGGAAGAAACCGAUUCCAAGACAACAGAGCAGUGCCUUGGCCUACACCAAAUGUGCCAAGUGAAGGAACAAUCGUGCACUGUGGGGAAUAGAGUAACAAAUGGGUAAAAUGUCACACACAACGACUGUGGUUGGCAAGCUUCGCGUCACUUCGGUCUUUUUAUACCCAUUACUCGUAGAAUUAAACCCCUUAGAAGCGGUUAAAAUUUGUUUUGGCUUACCGAAGCCAGUUUCGUUUGUUGUUGUUCCUUAAAAUAAUUCAUUGCUGCAUUGUCAUUACUGCCAAUGGAAUUUUCCGGUGUAGUAAUAGUCAACUGAAUUAUCUCCUUGUUACCCUAAAUAUGUAUUACUCACGCUAAUACAGGACCCGAUACCAAAAUAUCCCAACACUAUCAUUGUAUACAUGUCACUUUGUUUGUAUUUGGGCAUUUACAAGACCUGAGUGGAAAUAGCCCACUUUUCCAGAAAAAAACCUAUUUUAUAUUCAUUUAUCUAGUGCAUUAAUCAGUCCGAAAUUUAAGGUAAAUUAAUACAGUAGCUUCAUUUGUAAUAAAGCGAACAAACAAUGCUUAAAUCAAUUAGGCGAAAGUCAAAUCUAAAUUAUUCAUUGGGCAAUAACAAAUAAUAGAUUUGCAACUAAAACAAACAGUUGCACCGAUGCAUUUGCAAACUAUUUUCAUAAAACUAUUCCGCUUAAGGAAUGAAAACGUGGAAGUGGCGCCAUCUGCUGCCGCGUAUAAUUGCAAUUUUCCCCCAGCACAAAUUUUCGAAAUUUUCCAAUGUCCUGCAGCUGUGGCUGUAAUUCGGCCUCAGCCCGUUUUAAUGUGCCCUUUAAGCCGUGCUCUUCGGCUCCUGCAAAGGGGGCCAAACUAAGCCAUGGCCAAUGGCAUUAAGGACAUGCUGGCUUUGUGGUGCGUGUGAGUGAGUGUGAGUGAGUGCUGGUUAAUUUGGGCGCCUGGAAGUAUGCAACACACAAGUGUGCGGCUUGCGGGUUGAGAGAGUGUGCGUAGGUGAGAACAAAGCAAAUGCGCCGCGGCAAACAAAGUCAUUAACAACUCAUUAAAACUUCAAUGUAAUGGCUGCACGACCAACAGCAAGAACGCAAUUACGUAAUGUUUUUUAGGCGCAGCCGAAGGCACAAAUAUAAUAUAAAUACGCGUACGUAUUUCAAGACCCUUUUGUAACACAUUAUCUAUGCUGGGCCACCACACAGCCAUUAGCCCAAAAUAGAAGAAAGGGAAACAGGACUCCCAGCCGCAAAAAGCCACGAAAUACGGUCACGCCUCCGGAAAGACAAAAUUUGGUUAAAAAAAAAAGGGGGGCUCAAUAAAAAUAUUACAAAUUUCAAUUUACACAGGAAAGACUCAAAACGAUAUUGCUACAAUUACUUAAAAACAUUACAAUAUAUAAGCACAUGUGCUUAAAAAUUAAAAAAAAAGUGUUAAAAAUAUGUACCAAAAAAAAAAACAUUUUUAAUAAUAUUAAGUAUUGAUCAAUAUCAUGUGUUGCCUGUACUCCUAACCAUAUUCAAUGCGUUUAACUAAAUGAUUAUAACAUGAACGGUUUUCUUAGCAGAUGAAUGGCCGAUCCAUCACGGGUUACGGAUAAUUUUGCCCUCCAUGCAGCUGGCGUUUACUUACCAGCCCAAAUAGGGUGGACAUGUGAUUGACAGGGCCGUUAUCCACACGACGAGAAUCAUGAGGAGGGCCAGUCGCUUGGAGCGGCGCUUCUUGGAGUACGUCAGUGGCUGUGUGACGGCGAGAUACCUGCGAAAUAAAAAGCAGAAAAGGGCGAAAUAUAAAAGCCGGGCCAAUAAACGCAACGGAAAUGGCCGGAGAAAUGCUAAAAAAACAAAAGCCAAGCGGUCAUAUUGUUCGCAAAGCCGCAGACGGCUUUCUGGCCAGGCCAAAAGGCACACAACGCCAGUGGGCGUCAGUUAUGUCCUGGUUCGGGUUCAGAUCCAUGGCUCCGGCUCAGCUGGAUCAGCUCAACUCGGGAGCCACAACACAAAACUUGGAAAUGCCAUUAAAAUGUAAUUGAAACUUCCAACAAAAGCAAGCGGAGGGAUGGGAACACGGGAAAUGGGAAAUGGGAAUGGGAAUCCAAGCCCAACCCAAUCCUUGCUAUUGUGGCGUCGCACACUCAAAGGAUAUGCACUGGGAAUGGCCAGAACAACGGUCAUGCGGCAAUAAAAACGUCAACAAAUAAAUUAUUUUGCACUGUUUUUGCACCUUGCCAUGACUUAAUCUAAGGACUAAGGACCAA